rnacentral:misc_RNA from 1 species
CCGCAAGGAAGACUACUCUACUGCUGGUGGUAUGAUUUUGGGCUUCUUUUUUGCAGCUUUAUGAAAAUGGUCGAAGUUUGGUAGAUCUUGUAGGGACUGUAUCUAACUGUCAAUGGCUAUUUCAAGUUCAAAUCACCAGACUAUAAGAAGGUCUCGUUUCUAUCCAGUUGAUGAGACAGGUGGCAGCUAGAGAUGGAGAUUGUGAGAGAAAUCGGAGUUUUUUUGUUUCUUGCUGUGUUGUUUAGCCCAUUUUUGGUUAUUGAGCUGCAUGGUUUAAUAGAGGAAACAAAUGGUGUUGCUCAGUUUAACACUACUAUUGCAAGCCCUUUGCUUUCACAUGGAAGCAGCGAUAUUGCUAAAGAUGCAAACUCGACUAAGGAAGUUCAAUAUAAUAGCAAAAGUAAUAUGAAUAAUGGUCGGAAAGGAGGA